rnacentral:rRNA from 1 species
UACGGAGGGGGCUAGCGUUGUUCGGAAUCACUGGGCGUAAAGCGCCCGUAGGCGGCUUGCUAAGUCAGGGGUGAAAUCCUGGAGCUCAACUCCAGAACUGCCUUUGAUACUGGCAAUCUCGAGUCCGGGAGAGGUGAGUGGAACUGCGAGUGUAGAGGUGAAAUGCGUAGAUAUUCGCAAGAACACCAGUGGCGAAGGCGGCUCACUGGCCCGGUACUGACGCUGAGGUGCGAAAGCGUGGGGAGCAAACAGG